rnacentral:rRNA from 1 species
GACGAACGCUGGCGGCGUGCUUAACACAUGCAAGUCGAACGGAAAGGCCCUGCUUUUGUGGGGUGCUCGAGUGGCGAACGGGUGAGUAACACGUGAGUAACCUGCCCUUGACUUUGGGAUAACUUCAGGAAACUGGGGCUAAUACCGGAUAGGAGCUCCUGCUGCUUGGUGGGGGUUGGAAAGUUUCGGCGGUUGGGGAUGGACUCGCGGCUUAUCAGCUUGUUGGUGGGGUAGUGGCUUACCAAGGCUUCGACGGGUAGCCGGCCUGAGAGGGUGACCGGCCACAUUGGGACUGAGGUAGGGCCCAGACUCCUACGGGGGGCAGCAGUGGGGGAUAUUGCACAAUGGGCGGAAGCCUGAUGCAGCAACGCCGCGUGCGGGAUGACGGCCUUCGGGUUGUAAACCGCUUUCGCCUGUGACGAAGCGUGAGUGACGGUAAUGGGUAAAGAAGCACCGGCUAACUACGUG